rnacentral:rRNA from 1 species
CACGUAGGGCGCAAGCGUUGUCCGGAAUUAUUGGGCGUAAAGAGCUCGUAGGCGGUCUGUUGCGUCCGCUGUGAAAACUCGGGGCUUAACCCCGAGCCUGCAGUGGAUACGGGCAGACUAGAGGUAGGUAGGGGAGAAUGGAAUUCCCGGUGUAGCGGUGAAAUGCGCAGAUAUCGGGAGGAACACCGGUGGCGAAGGCGGUUCUCUGGGCCUGACCUGACGCUG